CCCUUGAGGCGUGGCUUCCGGAGCUAACGCGUUAAGUCGACCGCCUGGGGAGUACGGCCGCAAGGUUAAAACUCAAAUGAAUUGACGGGGGCCCGCACAAGCGGUGGAGCAUGUGGUUUAAUUCGAUGCAACGCGAAGAACCUUACCUGGUCUUGACAUCCACGGAAGUUUUCAGAGAUGAGAAUGUGCCUUCGGGAACCGUGAGACAGGUGCUGCAUGGCUGUCGUCAGCUCGUGUUGUGAAAUGUUGGGUUAAGUCCCGCAACGAGCGCAACCCUUAUCCUUUGUUGCCAGCGGUCCGGCCGGGAACUCAAAGGAGACUGCCAGUGAUAAACUGGAGGAAGGUGGGGAUGACGUCAAGUCAUCAUGGCCCUUACGACCAGGGCUACACACGUGCUACAAUGGCGCAUACAAAGAGAAGCGACCUCGCGAGAGCAAGCGGACCUCAUAAAGUGCGUCGUAGUCCGGAUUGGAGUCUGCAACUCGACUCCAUGAAGUCGGAAUCGCUAGUAAUCGUGGAUCAGAAUGCCACGGUGAAUACGUUCCCGGGCCUUGUACACACCGCCCGUCACACCAUGGGAGUGGGUUGCAAAAGAAGUAGGUAGCUUAACCUUCGGGAGGGCGCUUACCACUUUGUGAUUCAUGACUGGGGUGAAGUCGUAACAAGGUAACCGUAGGGGAACCUGCGGUUG
rnacentral:rRNA from 1 species